CCAGCAGCUGCGGUCAUUCCAGCUCCAAUAGCGCCUAUUAAAGUUGUUGCGGUUAAAAAGCUCGUAGUUGGAUUUCUGCUGAGGACAACCGACCGACCCAAACGGGUUUGUGUCUGGUUAGACCGAGGCAUCCUCUUGGAAAACGUUUCCACUUCGGUGGUUGCGGGGUCCAGGACUUUUACUUUGAGGAAAUUAGAGUGUUUGAAACAGGCGUUCGCCGUGAAUACAUUAGCAUGGAAUAAUAAGAUAGGACUUCGGUUCUAUUUUGUUGGUUUCUAGAACUGAAGUAAUGAUUAAUAGGGACAGUCGGGGGCAUUCGUACUUAACUGUCAGAGGUGAAAUUCUUGGAUUUGUUAAAGACGAACUACUGCGAAAGCAUUUGCGAAGGAUGUUUUCA
rnacentral:rRNA from 1 species